UCUAUAUGAUGAGUAAAAUUGGUCCGUGUUUCUGAGCAGACUCAAGACCUGUCAAAUGAGGACGCAACCUACUGGUGUUUUCACCAUCUCUGAUACC
rfam:Valsa mali var. pyri strain SXYL134 unplaced genomic scaffold scaffold00048, whole genome shotgun sequence.